CGCCCGCCCCGCUCCGCCCGCGGCUCAGGACCGCACCAUUCGGGCUUAGACAGGGUGGGUUACUCCCUCCGACUUGGACUCGCCCGGCUGGCUCCGGACCGAACCACUCAGCGCGGAUGGGAGGGGACGAUCAUCCCAGCCGCAUACAUCCUGACCUUAUCCCGCUGUCAUUGAGUGAUGUGCUGACCUCACUGCAUCAACAUAUCGUGCCAUGACCUCACCACCACAUUGCCAUGAUGUCAUGUUGCCUUGGCGUGUUACAUCCUGACCUCGCCGUGUCACUAGCUGAGUUGAGAGAUCUGGGAUUUGCAGUUUAUAAGAAUGAAUUUUCUACUUGUCUGGGGACAUGGAGAACGGAGAACAAUCCUUGGGUGGAAGGUGCUAUAGACAUGCUAAUGAUCCUGUUUAUCUGACCUGGAUUUCCAGAUAGGCUUCUGUCUCCAGGCCUAGUGACCACCAAACGUACCUCAGUAAUGAACUCCUUCUAACGAGGCGAACUCUCACUGCUACAACUGCACAGUGAACCACUCAAUUUCCUGUUUUUGUCAGAGCAUGUUUCAUCCCAUGGACUCUUGCUCUUAGUCAUGUUAGUAUUAAAAGGACACUGAAAUUCUUUCCUGGUUUUUAUUAUCUUCUUUAGAUAGCCAAAUAUUGACUUGUGAAAUUCAAGAGGGGUCAGGAUUUCACUGUUUCUGGAAACUGACUCAUUCCCGUGGUGUCAAGCCUGAUCUCCUUUAGAAAAUUACACCUUGCACCAGUUAUUUACCCAUGAAAAGUCCCCUGAUAAUGCUAUGUCUAAAACCCUUUCCCAGAUGCAGUUAGCCAUUCUUCAGUCCUUUCUUGAAAUGUAAUUCUCCCAGACAUGGGAGCGGGCAACAGGAGGGCCAAAGAGCCAUUGCCCCAUACUUUUUAAACAGGGGGGCCAUGCUGCCCACUUUUGAGAACCUGAACUUGGCAGCAGGGGUACAUUGCGAGCAGUGGGCAGGGGUCCUUCUUACUUCUUCCGGGGUCCUUCUUACUGCCCCGCUUUGACCUCUGAUCAGAACUGGAUUGCAUAAAGUCAGAACCCCUUCCCUUGGCCCAGCCCUCCCAUCGGCAUGACGGAGGGGUGGCUGCGCCAAAAGUGAGUGGCAUUGAGACCCUGUGCCCCAGGUUGCAAAACCACUCGCUCAUAUUUGGAAAAAAGAAAAGGAGUACUUGUGGCACCUUAGAGACUAACCAAUUUAUUUGAGCAUGAGCUUUCGUGAGCUACAGCACGAAAGCUCAUGC